rnacentral:rRNA from 1 species
GAUGAACGCUAGCUACAGGCUUAACACAUGCAAGUCGAGGGACCGGCGCACGGGUGAGUAACACGUAUCCAACCUGCCCUUUACUCGGUGAUAGCCUUUCGCAAGAAAGAUUAAUACCCGAUAUAAAGGAUGGGGAUGCGUUCCAUUAGGUUGUUGGUGAGGUACCGGCUCACCAAGCCUUCGCUGGAUAGGGGUUCGGAGAGGAAGGUCCCCGACAUUGGAACUGAGACCCAGUCCAAACUCCUACGGGAGGCAGGAGUGAGGAAGAUUGGUCAAUGGGCGGGAGCCUGAACCAGCCAAGUAGCGUGAAGGAUGAAGGGUUAUGGGUCGUAAACUUCUUUUAUAUAAGAAUAUGUAUUAGAUGAAUAAGGAUCGGCUAACUCCGUGCCAGCAGCCGCGGUAAUAC